rnacentral:rRNA from 1 species
CCUACGGGUGGCAGCAGUGGGGAAUAUUGGGCAAUGGAGGCAACUCUGACCCAGCAACGCCGCGUGAAUGAAGAAGGCCUUCGGGUUGUAAACUUAUUUUGUAAAGGAAGAAGAGAGUGACGGUACUUUACAAGUAAGCCUCGGCUAACUAUGUGCCAGCAGCCGCGGUAAGACAUAGGGGGCAAGCGUUAUUCGGAAUUACUGGGCGUAAAGGGAGCGUAGGCGGGAUGUUAAGUUAAGAGCGUAACCCCUGGGCUCAACCUAAGAAAUGCUCUCAAUACUGGUGUUCUUGAGUGUAGGAGAGGUAAAUGGAAUUCCUAGUGUAGCGGUAGAAUGCGUAGAGAUUAGGAGGAACACCAGAGGCGAAGGCGACUUACUGGACUGUAACUGACGCUGAGGCACGAAAGCGUGGGGAGCAAACAGGAUUAGAUACCCGUGUAGUC